GAUGAAGAACGUAGCGAAAUGCGAUAAGUAAUGUGAAUUGCAGAAUUCAGUGAAUCAUCGAAUCUUUGAACGCACAUUGCGCCCGCCAGUAUUCUGGCGGGCAUGCCUGUUCGAGCGUCAUUACAACCCUCAGGCCCCCGGGCCUGGCGUUGGGGAUCGGCGGAAGCCCCCUGUGGGCACACGCCGUCCCUCAAAUACAGUGGCGGUCCUGCCGCAGCUUCCAUUGCGUAGUAGCUAACACCUCGCAACUGGAGAGCGGCGCGGCCAUGCCGUAAAACACCCAACUUCUGAAUGUUGACCUCGAAUCAGGUAGGAAUACCCGCUGAACUUAAGCAUAUCAAUAAGCGGAGGA
rnacentral:misc_RNA from 1 species